GAAGGAACAGAUAAACUUCGACUCAUAUGCUUGUUCUACUACUUGUUGAAUUGUACACAAAGGCACGUUUUAUAACAUCAAGUUACUGAUGCGUUUACGUGCAAUCAAUGCACAACCAACUCAUAGGUAACAACUCAUAUCUCUAGGUUUGAAGAUUUAUAUGAUAUUACCGUCUCACGAUCACUCGAGAUAAAUUCCAUGAAGUGAUACAAGUGAGCGUGGGUUUAUUCCAAUACUCAUAACUUAUGAGCACUCAUGAAUGUUGUAGCAACCAUUGCUAUGACUAAACCCAUUUAGCCAUCUACAAACUCGAUUCAUGACAGUCUUGAUUCAUACCUACUUCCAACAUAUGAACGACUGUGGAGUGUUUAAAUAACUUAGUCAUUCGGAAAGAAUAACCUAGCUAUUUUGGAAGUCAAAACAUGCAAAGUGAAACACAAUAAUAAUCGAAUCCAAUAUGGUCUCAGAACCCUUUUGAAUAUAAAUAGAACCACCUUUUAUUUAUCACCAUAUUGAUUACACAUUAUUCAUUGUAUAAUGUUUCAAACAAUCAACUUAAGACUUGAAUAAAAAACAACAGUCGUCCCAUGCUCCUAGCAUGUACACUUUGUUUUUCUAAACAAUAGUUAUGCCAUACUCCAAGUAUGCACACUAUGUUUGUCUAUGAUCCUUACAUUGUGAUGUAGAUCAAUUGAACAUGAUUCCAAUGAUACUCAUUUCACAAUCCCAAAUCCUUAUUGUAAAUAUGAGAAUCCCCGAUUCCUAUCAUUUACCAAAAAAAACUGUUAGAUUUUAAACUUAUAUGCAAUGUUCCUCUUGUAAUGAUUAUGCACAAAGUCACCAAAACCUCGUCACCAGUCAUUACAGAGUAUUCCAAAGAAGGUCAGCUUCUAUGGAACGGAAGUCUCAUAUUAACACUAUACUUCCAAAUGUCCCUGAGCAACCAAUCUUUGGCAAACCUCAGAUUGUCCUCGACAAUUGCUUAAUCACUUUAGUCAUAUCCAGUUCUAGAUUUUUUCCUUCCAAAUGCCCUGAGCAUUUGGAAAAUUUAGAAAAGAUGAAUAUUAUANNNNNNNNNNNNNNNNNNNNNNNNNNNNNNNNNNNNNNNNNNNNNNNNNNNNNNNNNNNNNNNNNNNNNNNNNNNNNNNNNNNNNNNNNNNNNNNNNNNNCUAGCUAACAGGAUGCAACAUAUCAAAGCAAUAACAUAACAACAACUACCUGGAUCUAAAUCCGAUAAGGGCCGGCCUUGGUGUCGUAGACCUUGUUGAUAUAGUGAGGAUAACUCACCUCGAAACUGCCGGCUGAUAGGAUAAGAUCCCGCUGCUCCAAACUCCGACACGAACUCCUCCACUGAACACCAAAACACUCAACUCAAUAAAUACCCUUAAUUACCAAAAUACCCCUGAAAGACAACUGGUCAACCUUUGGACAAGGUCAAAGUCAACCCCUGACUAACUCUACUCGCCGAGUCANGAACACCAAAACACUCAACUCAAUAAAUACCCUUAAUUACCAAAAUACCCCUGAAAGACAACUGGUCAACCUUUGGACAAGGUCAAAGUCAACCCCUGACUAACUCUACUCGCCGAGUCAACCCGAUGACUCGCCGAGUCCCCAUACUCAGAACUUCCCUCAAUCCGCGACCUAACUCGCCGAGUCACCCCGAGACUCGCCGAGUCCAACAACUUUGAGUCACUCUCCCACAACUCACCAAGUCAUCCCUUGACUCACCGAUUCUCGACUCAACCAGAAAAUAUUGGGACUCUUCGACAAGACUUGUCGAGUCCAAGAACAGACUCGCCGAAUCUAAGGCUAUCUUCAACAUACUCACCGAGUUGUUCAUACAACUCACCGAGUUCCAGACCAUCUUCGUCCAAGUCGCCGAGUUGUUCUUCCAACUCGUCGAGUCCCAGCUCAUCUUCAAGUAACUCGUCGAGUCCACCCAUGUGACUCGCCGAGUACCACCGGUCUGAAUCCAUACAAAAGCAUUCCAAGACAUGCAAUUGAUCCAAAACAUAGAUCUAGCCUCCUACAACCCAUCCAUCACAUAAAGUGGCAAACUUUACGUGAAUCCAAAGAGAUCUAUGCAUUUUGCACAUUAGGGUUAGGGUUUGGGACAUGAUAGCUUCACUCAACACUCAACACAGGGACUUUAUGCACAUUUGAACCAUCACCACUCCAGAUCUGAGGUAGCAUCCUCAGAUCCAUCUUCCAAUCCCGAAUAACUCAUGAAAUACACCCAAAAAACCCCAAAACAACCCCCAUAGAAGACAACAAGGGGAAAAGAGCUCAAGACAGAGAAUCCUUACCCCAAAGAUGAGCCUAAACUGAUGUAGACUCCAGAUCUCCAAGCCCUCUUGAUGCUAUCCUCGAAUUCCUCCCACUUCUCUUCACAAACCCUUUCUUCCAAGCUUUAAUCCUCUCAAUAAUGGAGUUAUUACAUUUGGGGGUGUUCUCUGGAACUCUCAGGGGGUAUAGAGGCUGAAAAGGAUGCAUAACAUCCUUUAAAUAGGGGGAAACCCUGAAGGUUAGGGUUUUCUUCACCCAGCACCAACUCGCCGAGUCUAGCCGCCGACUCACCAAGUUGGCCAAUUAACACGCGACCAAUUUGUGACCCUACUCGCCGAGUCCACCCAUGGACUCGCCGAGUUCCUCUUUUCCAAUUUACCCUUUUUGCCCAUCAACUCUACUCUUGAUAUUUCAGGAUGUUACAAUGACACGUGUGAAUCUUGUUUACUUGGGAAGAUGACCAAGUCACCCUUUACUAGAACUUGUGAAAGGGGUGAGGGUCCAUCGGAUCUCAUAAACACUGAUGUGUGUGGGCCCUUUAGAUCCACCACAAGGGAUGCUUGUCGCUUCUAUGUAACUUUUACGGAGGGUUAUAGCAUAUAUGGAUAUAUCUACUUAAUCAAGUAAAAGUCGGAAACCUUUGAAAAGUUCAAAGAGUUUAAGAAUGAAGUGGAGAAUCAGCUGGGCAGGAAAAUCAAGAUGCUUCGGUCAGACCGAGGAGGAGAGUACCUAAGUCUUGAGUUUCACAACUAUCUAAAAGAAUGCGGAAUUGUUUCGGAAUUGAUGCCUCCGAGAACGCCACAAUUGAAUGGUGUGGCUGAGAGACGUAAUCGAACCUUGUUGGGCAUGGUUCGUUCUAUGAUGAGUCAGACUUCGUUACUAAUAUCUUUUUGGAGGUAUGCCUUAGAGACUGCCGCCCACUUCCUUAACUUAGUUCCCACCAAGAAGGUUACCAAGACUCCUCACGAGAUGUGGACAGGGAAAGCUCCCUCGUUAGAACACAUUAAGGUUUGGGGAUGCAAGGCUUUCGUAAGACGAGAGACUCAUGGUAAGCUCGAACCUCGUAGUGAGAAGUGUUAUUUCAUCGGCUAUCCACAAAAGUCUUUUGGCUAUCUUUUCUAUAGACCGAAUGACAAUGUUGUCUUCGUUGCUAGAAGAGGAGUUUUCCGAGAAAGGGAAUAUAUAGGCCAAGAAGACAGUGGGAGGCGAAUUGAUCUUGAAGAGAUUCAAGAACAAAGCAAUGAAGGAACCUCUAACACUGGCGCUCAAACCGAAGAGGAAACUCCUGUUAAACCCGUUGACGAGUCCUUACCUCUUAUACGUUCUAAUCACUACUAGAAAAACAGCCUUUUACGACUCUCAUUGUGCGUCGUAAAACACUCAGACGACGCGCAAAUGUGCAUCAAGGAAGGCCCUGUCAUAAAGAGAGACGACACGCUUUUGCGCGUCGUCUAUAGACGACGCGCAUUUACGACACGCAUUUACGACGCACAGUUAUGACACGCAAUGUGUAUAAAGGAAGGCCUUGUCAUAAAGUAAGACGACACAAAUUUGCAUGUCGUCACCUUACAACACGCGUGUUUAUGACACGUAAUGCGUAUCAAGGAAGCCCUUGUCAUAAAUGAAUAUGACACGCAUUUGCGUGUCAUAAACUUCGGUAACCAUUUACGAUAGGCAUUUACGAUGCGUCUUUACGAUACUCAUUUACGCAUAAUACAAAAAUAUGUAAACAAAUAUAUACCUAAACAAUCAAUUUCAUCCAAUAACAUCAAGGCAAAAAAUUUAAUACAUUGAUAUUAAGGUAAUCUAAUUGGACAUUGUUAUUAAAAGGUUUUCCCUAACUAUAUAACCUAAUACUACAUUGCGUAUCAAGGGACACAUUCUACAAGGUAAUGCUAUACAAACUAAAAAGAUAUAAACUAAGAUGAUAAAUAUCAAAUUCCAACUAAGUUGAGUUAUAUCCUGCCUUUCAUAAUUCUUUAAGACUAAUGAACUCUUGCUCCGAUAAUUCUUGUGACCUGAUCAAAUAAAAGUCAAAAAAUUAAUAUGCUAAUAUAAUUAAUAGAAGAAUCAAACAAGGAAUGUUAGUUGCAAAUACUUGUGCCAAAUGUGAGCUGUCAAAUGAGGGAAAAGUGAACAUCUGCAAGCUUUUUGACACCAACCUACACACAAGCACAUAUACAUAUCAAACAAGGAUGUAAAAAUCACCCGAUGUAAAAAUCCCAACAUUUUUUAUUGCAAUUAAAACCUUUUUCUGCAACAAAUAAUAUUAUCAAUCAGCCAACAAGAUAACAAAAAAAUUAAUAAUUACCAAAUUUAUGAUUAUUCUUGAUUGGUAUUUAAAUGGGACCCAAGCAUUCAACCCUCAAACAAAACUACCUAAAUAUCGACAAAACAGGGCAAAAGGCACAUUAAAUAUUAUAAGGGUAAAAUGGUAAUUUAGUAUUAUUCAAAUUGAGACGGUUUAUUUGGUCUAGAAAAGAAAAAAAAAAGGAAAAACUUAUGUAUACAGACAACACUUUAUCCAGGAAGAUAUCAUUUACCCAUUCAGCUACCUUAUCCAUAUACAGAAAGAAUAAGAACGAGUCACAAAAUUAUUUAAUUUUUCCCAACAGUUCCCUAAGUGUGUUGUUAUUCUUUAAGAAUCAUUUUUAUUUACCUGAAAGUGGAUAGAAAAAAAAAAGAUAUAAUACUUACUAGGUGGAAGUGCAGGUGGUGGUGUAGUAGGAUUUGGACUGAAUCCAUCUAAUAGAUCCAUCAUGGGGGAGGCGUCAGUUGUAGAUGAGUUUUUUAUUAAGUUGAGUCAAGGAUAAGAGUUCCGAUGUAGAUGAGUUUUUUUAGGAGCAGGACUCAAUUGAAGAUCAGAUGUAGAUGAGUUAUGAGUCAUGGCACCAAAUCCACCUCCAUCAGCCAAUAUCACAGUUAAAAAUAUUCAUAAAACUAAAUCACGAAAAUCUAACAAAACACAAGCAAGAACAUGAGUUUUCCUUAUAUAGAUUGACUUCAAAAUCAACCUUAUCAACUCGUACCCCAUUAGUUAAAAUAGAUCGCCUCCCUUUUUCAUUGUUUGUUGUCAAGUGUCAAGCCCAUUGUUUUUCAGAAUAAAAAAAGUUUCCAACUCAGGUAGUAUUUGCAUUCCCACCAAUUGCAGGCUGCAAAAUACAUGACCCAUGUGUAUUAAACAAUAAAAUACAAUUUAUAAGAAUGGUUUUAGGAGUUACUAAAUUACCCUUAGUCAGGGACAUCUAAACCUACCCUUGAAUCUCAGCACCUUCACUAAGCUUUUUAAUAACAGUUCCAAGUAUCAUCAAACUUUUGUUGAUGUGGGAUCCCUCUUUCAAGCGAACACCUUCUGCACCAGUCUUUGCAGGUCUUUCUGAACCUGCAAGGUUUACCAAGUUCUUAGAUGACAAAUAAAGAAAAUUUAAAAAUAAAUAAAACAAAGAAAUAAAUAAACAUAUUAAAGAAAUGGUUACAAAAUAAUACCAAAGUUAGGCAUCAUGUUUAUCUAAUAAUGAGAUGAUCAUAAGUAACUAAUUAGAAUUUGUUUCUUUUUUACUUAAUGGACUUAUUGGGACAAGACUUUAUCUGGUUAGCUAUAUAUGCAUGUUUCUUUUUGACUUAAUUUAGAAAGAGGGAUCUAAUAGGGAAAGUAAGGGAAAUUAGGCUUUCCCUAUUAAGUCCAAACUUUUUUAAACUUAUGCUCUUUAUGUAACUGUUGCUGAGUUAGAGAAACAUCAAAACCAUGCUAGGGGAGACUGAAAGACUCCUUAAGAUCCAUAAUAUCAAGCACAUGUGAGUAUUUUUUUCCCACUUAUUAGUUAUUCAGUGAAAUAAAAUAAGAAUAAUGUCCAACUUUCUAGUACUCACCCAAUAAUCGAAAUUAUGAAUUUUCUCUUUGUCUUCCUUAGCACUUUUAAAUAAACCCCCUUUGUAUAUCUGUCUCAUUAAAUUUAAGCAAUAAGCUAUAUUCCACAUAAUGAAGAACUCAAAGAUCAGAUGAUGUUUAACCUGUUGUUUGUAUAUCUUUUCUUCAACUAUACCACAAGUGAUCAAAUGGUAUACAAUAACAUCCUUCUUCUGUCCAAUAUGAUAUGCUCUAUCAACACUUUGAUUAUCAAUACUGCAAUAAUUAUCAAGAAACAAUAAUAUCAUUGGAUUUGAGAUAUAGCAUGUUUAUGUGAUUUAUAGAGUUUCUAAUAAGAAGUUAGGAACUAUUUGUUUUCUUUCCUCAUAUCAUUGGAUUUCAUAUAGCAUGUUGCAAUCAUAAACACAUAUGUAUAUGCAGCAGUCUAAGUUUGAUUUGAAUAUAUACAUAUUACAGAAAGAAACAAACUUUGCUUUUAAAUGUAAGUAGAGUACUUUAUAUUGCAUAAUCAAAAGAUAAAAAAUUAAUUAUCAAAAUAUUUUCAUGAAACUUAAAUUUAUAUAUGUGAUAUAAAGGCAUGCCAAUUGCCAACAAACCUGCUGUCCAAACUCAAGUUCACUGACUGAUUGGACUAAUGCAGCAAGCCAGAAAAGAUCAGAAUACGGAUUCCCAUUGUUCUCAUUGUACUGAAAGUACCCCCAAAAAAGAAAACGAAAUUGAAGAUAUAAAAAAUAGAUAAUGAAAUGGUAAUAUGUGUGGGAGUGGAAUAGUGGAAGAAACAUUUACUUUUAAAAGUUGUAAAAUGAAAUCAACAGCUUUACGAGGGCUUUAUUAUCUGCGGCUCUAACCAAAGCUACAACAUGUGGAAUAGCCUUUCAAGACAUCACAAUCCACAAAAUUAAACAAAUUCAAUAAAUGAUUUCGCCUAGAUAAAUAAUAUUGUAUAAAUAAUACAAAUAUAAUUGUAUUAAAAAGCUGAAAUGUCAUUUCAAUAUGUUGCUUGUAUCAAUAUGAUUAUCAAAACAUGUUGUGUUUUUUAAAAAAAAACUUUAGACACUGUUGACAAUACACAUCUUACCUCAUUGCAUUACCUCGAGUACAAAAUACUCUGCAAAAUCAUGAAAGUCAUUUGGCCUGAGCAUGAAAAGAAAAUUAAUCUUUAGGAAAGGGUAUUUCAGUCAGUAAAACUUUUGACCUUGUUUUGAUGCCUAUUAGAUUUGAGAAAGGAUGCAACACUUACUUUGGGAGUCCAAUUUUCUCAUCAUAUCUUCGACUUUUAUAAAAUUUAAUUAGAUGUAGUAAACCAGCCCAAUAAAUUUCCUAGAAGAACAAUAAAGUAAAUGAUGCAUCAAUGACCAAUAUCAAGAAAUCUAGUAAUAAUCUUAGAAAGGGCAUUUCAGUCAUUUAGACAAACAAGUAUAUUCCUCGAAUGUUGUGCUAGCUAAAGAAAAAGCCGCCUCAAUCCGAACACGCCAAAAGGCCUUAACAAGGUAGAAAACGUCACAGUUGCACUUUAAUAAUUUUCUUACAGAAAACUAAAUCAUUGUACUUUAAAAGAAUUUCUUACUUUGAAAAUUCUAUAACUGGGUAGAUUUUUUCAAUGGACAGGAAGAAGAAAUAAACAAAAAGUAUGUUUAUAUUUGGUGCACAAGAGGGNNNNNNNNNNNNNNUACCUGAGAAUGACAGAGGACAUUACUUAAAGCAUUAAUAAUUGAAAGAAGUUGAGGGAACAACUCUAGUGCUGUGAUUCAUUGUACUUGAGACACAACAUCUUUGUCCUUCUCCAAUUGAUUUAUCUGGUUUUUGCGUUUAUAUAGAUUCUCAAAACAUUCAAAUAUAGAAAUAUAUAAAAAUUAAAGAAUAUAAUAUACAAGAACAUACAUAACCACAUCUAUACAUGUUGAUUAAAAUGAAUCUCUGCAAGAUACUCCAUUUCGGGAUUUGCCCUUAGCCAUUGUAAGGGGGAAUCAUCGUUGCUAAAUAAAUCAAAGUGAUAGUCAUAUAAAAAAGCAGAAAGAUCUAGUUGAAGAAAUAUAAAUGGCAUGGCAUAAUACUUUGAACGCAUAGUGAGAAACUGGUAAAAUAAUGCCACUACAAAAUAGAGAGCUUGGAUCCACAAAGUUCAAUUAUUUGACCUGAAGUUUGAAUGCAUUCCCAAUUGCUGAGAGUAUGGGACUGCAUACACCUAAAACACCAUGAGGUCUUUGAUCCGGUGCAGUUUCCAAGGAUAAUUUUAGCUAGAAUUCAUCGCCUCCUCCAACCACCAUCCUUCACCACCUCCUCCGAUUUUCAUGGACCCGAUCUGCUACUCUAGCCUCUGAGCAGAGCCCUCAAGUCGAUCAAACCACUCGGUGGUAUUGAAUCUCAAAUGAUGCACGUCAAAGAGGACUUGAGCUCGAAGAGGGCACUGUAAGAACCUCGAUAUCUUCUUCUCGACCUUCUCCUUCUCCAUCUUCUUCUUGACCGUCUCGACGUUCCAACGGCUAGAGACGAAGAAUUUUCUAGCGAGUUCAAGGCCAUUAUGGAGAGCUCUGGAGAGAGUAUCGAGCUGCAUCUGAAGUCUCGGGGUUAACUUCACGCCGAAGUACUUGAUCUGAGAUACGAGCUUGGUUGUGUUAUUCCUUAAGGAUAAAUAAAAGGGAUUCAGUAGUGGUGGAGGCGGAUUAAGGUUUGUAGAGAAAAGAAGGAGAUAGUGAAGGUUAUUGGCUGGUGGAGAGGAUAAAUUAUAUGGUGAAAUUCAAGCAGUGUUUGAGAUAAACAAAAUGGAAAGCACAUGAAGGAGAAGGAAGAGAACACACAAAGGAGAAUGAUAAGGAGAAGGGAGAGACGCAACAGGCAGGGUUUUAACUUUUUAGGGAUUUCAUUCCCCCCUUUCUACUAAAUUAGGGAUUUCAUUCCCCCCUUUCUACUAAACGCGCGUUCAUUAAAAUUAUAAAACGACACCUAUAGAGGACGCGCAUUUAAGAUACAGCGCCCUCCGUGUUUUUAAUUUUUUUUUCUUCUGAGACUAAUUUAAGGGCACACAAUAAUGUGUGACCUAAAUCCUUAAAUUUUUUGAAGAGAUGACACUUUUGUAAUGUCACUCUCUUUUGCGUAACACAAAUCAACGAGUGUCGUGGUUUGCGCGUCGUAAAAGGGUCUUUUUCUUGUAGUGAAUAGGGUUAGUGUUCAACCCCAGUUUUAUGGUUUUCAUAUUACUACUGAAGGGGAUACGUUUAUUAGUGAUGAAACACUAAUGAAUUUGGACGAACCUAGCAGCUACAAAGAAGCCAUGACAGGACCAGAGUUUGCUAAAUGGAAAGAGGCGAUGGAUAGCGAGAUUAAGUCCAUGUACGACAGCCAAGUUUGGAAUUUGGUUGAUAAUGUACCGGGUCGUAAGACAGUCAGGUGCAAAUGGAUCUUCAAGAAGAAGAUGGACAUGGAUGGGAAUGUGCACACUUCUAAAGCGCGAUUGGUUGCGAAGGGCUUUACUCAAACUCCCGGAGUUGACUAUGAUGAGACCUUCUCACCAGUUGCGAAGAUAAAGUCUAUUAGGGUAAUGCUUGCAAUAGUUGAGUUUCAUGAUUAUGAAAUUUGGCAGAUGGAGGUAAAAACCACUUUGCUUAAUGGGAAGUUGGUUGAGGAUGUGUAUAUGAAUCAGCAGAGGGUUUUUUCGAUGCGAAGCAUCCAAAUAGAGUGUGUAAGCUUGAGAAAUCCAUUUAUGGAUUGAAACAAGCAUCUCGCAGAUGGAAUCUUUGUUUUGACGAGAAGGUUAAAUAGUUUGGCUUUCUGCGAAGCGAAGAUGAAUAGUGAGCUUCCUCGUAUUGUAUGUUGAUGACAUACUACUCAUAAGAAACGAUGUCCCAACCUUGCAGGAGGUCAAGUCCUGGCUUGGGAAAUGUUUCGCUAUGAAGGACCUUAGAGAGGCUGCUUAUAUUCUGGGAAUAAGGAUAGUAAGAAACAUGGAAAAGAGACUGAUAGGACUCAGUCAGGAUACACACUUGGAUAAGGUACUAAAGCAUUUAAGUAUGGAAAAUUCCAAGAAAGGGGAGUUGCCAAUCUAAAGAAAUACCAAGUUGAGUAAGACUCAAAGCCCGAGUACAGAGGCUGAGAUAGCUGAUAUGAGCCGAGUCCCUUAUGUUUCCACAGUAGGCUCUAUCAUGUGUGAUAUGACUUGUACUCGUCCUAAUGUUGCCUUCGCUUUGAGCAUGGUUAGCAGAUAUCAGGGGGAAUCCGGGUAAAGCUCAUUGGAUUGCAGUUAAGAAUAUUCUUAAGUACUUACGAAGAACCAAGGAAUCGUUCCUAGUCCUCGGUGGGAGUGAUGACUUAAGAGUACGAGGGUACAUUGACACUAGUUUUCAGACGGAUCCGGAUAGUUACCGAUUGCAUUCAGGCUAGGUCUUUACCCUAAAUGGAGGAGCAGUGACUUGGAAAGGUUCCAAGCAGGAGACCGUGGCUAAUUCAACGUGCGAAUCAGAGUUCAUCGCGACAAGCGAAGCAUCAAAGGAGGCUAUAUGGUUGAAGUGUUGGGUUUAGAGCAUUCUAACACUCCUACGUGUACAUGCAACCCUAAAUACAUUGGAUCUAUGUUUUCUCUAUUAUACAUGCAAAUAUGAACAUCCAAUGAGUUAUCCUAUUCUAGCAUACAAAACAAUGAAUAUAACAAGAUAUAAUACAUACCUCUUUGAUGUAGAAUGUCCUCAUGAAGCUUGAGUGCCUAGUGCCCCAAGUGUGACACCUCAAAUGGUUCACACAACACCAAAUAAACUUGGAAUAACUUGAGAGAAACUUGAACACUUCUAAAAUCGGCUAGCCCUUCUCUUCCUAACUUAGUGCCGAUUUUUCCAAAGAAUAUGAUCUUAUAUAGUUGUUACAAUUAGGGUAAACCCUAAUUGUCAUGGCUUUCCAUUUCCUUGGAUCCAUGGGUUCAAAUACACCAUGGAGCAUCCAUGGAGCAUCGUAUGGGUUUUAGCCCAACUUGAUAAUCCAUGGAGCAUUAGCCCACUAUACAAGUAUGGAUGAUUUACACAAUAAACCCAUAUAUAUUUAAUUAGUCUUCUUUUGAUCACUUCAUUAAUUCUAGAUUAAUUCUUGAUCAAUACUAAUUAAAUAAUCUUAUUAGUAUAUUAGAACUUAUAAUAUAUUAACAAACCUUAAGUGUUAUUUCUCUCAUUAUAGUCUAUCCAAAUGCCUAUGCCAUGCAACCCAAAUGGACCAUGUCGGGUCGGUUCAAGUCUUACCAAUUAUAGUUAUGGACUUAGACAUUAAUCCAACAGUCUCCCACUUGGAUAACUCUAAAACUAUUAUUGCGUAUGACUUCAAGAACCGACUGGCAAUCGUAGCUCUCAAAAGCUUCCGUCGAACUCUGACCUUGUAGAUGAACUCUGACCUUUGUCAAUGACUUGUCCAUUAGAUAAGGGAUCAUAUAUUCCUCCAUUCUAGAUAUCAUAUGGACUGAGACAUGGAUUAUAAUCAUUCUCUCUGUCCAUUUGUUGUUUCCCGAUUUCCGAUUUAUGACGACUGACUAAUUGAACAAAUCAAAUCAGUCCUGGCCCGGCCGAGCACUUCCAUUUGUCAUCAUCAAAUCAUCGAGGGGCCCACAGAUAUCGCUUUUAUCCCGAAGGUAAAAGGAAUGGAUAAACUUCGACUCAUAUGGCUUGUUCUACUACUUGUUGAAUCAUACACAAAGGCACGUUUUAUAGCACCGAGUUACCAAAUGCGNNNNNNNNNNNNNNNNNNNNNNNNNNNNNNNNNNNNNNNNNNNNNNNNNNNNNNNNNNNNNNNNNNNNNNNNNNNNNNNNNNNNNNNNNNNNNNNNNNNNNNNNNNNNNNNNNNNNNNNNNNNNNNNNNNNNNNNNNNNNNNNNNNNNNNNNNNNNNNNNNNNNNNNNNNNNNNNNNNNNNNNNNNNNNNNNNNNNNNNNNNNNNNNNNNNNNNNNNNNNNNNNNNNNNNNNNNNNNNNNNNNNNNNNNNNNNNNNNNNNNNNNNNNNNNNNNNNNNNNNNNNNNNNNNNNNNNNNNNNNNNNNNNNNNNNNNNNNNNNNNNNNNNNNNNNNNNNNNNNNNNNNNNNNNNNNNNNNNNNNNNNNNNNNNNNNNNNNNNNNNNNNNNNNNNNNNNNNNNNNNNNNNNNNNNNNUUGUCAAGCCCGUAUAGAUCUAUACACAAACACCAUGCUCCCCCUCCAAGGGAUUCUGGUAUAUAAUACAGGACUUGAAAUGUGUACUCGAACGUACAUGAAGUUAGUGUCUCACAAAUCCGUGGUAUAAAAACAGAUCUACUUGUUAAAAUGUUACGUUUGUUCUUGUAUACGAAAGUAAACUUCUUGAAAUAUAUGUUUCUAGUACAUAAGAGUUAGAAAUCUGUUCGUAAAACUAUACCUAUUAUAGUUUUCAUAAAGUAUGCCUUGUUUGUUUAGAAGUACUUAGGCAAAGAAUCACUUGUUCAUGAAAACAUAGAUUUUUGGGGUAGGGUCUAAGAUAGACAAGAAAAAUCUAAGAACAGUUUAGUUUAUACCUGCAUUACAACAACUUUAUAUUUUAAGAGAUAAAAUGCUAUUGUAACAUAUGUUAUAUAUAUCUAUAUAUAAAGUUCCUUUAAAGGUUUAUAAAUCGCAUGUGAUUUGAAUAUAUNNNNNNNNNNNNNNNNNNNNNNNNNNNNNNNNNNNNNNNNNNNNNNNNNNNNNNNNNNNNNNNNNNNNNNNNNNNNNNNNNNNNNNNNNNNNNNNNNNNNAUUUCAAUGAUUCUCUUUUCACACUCCCAAAUCCUUAUCGAAAAUAUAAGAAUUCCAAAUUCCUAUCAUUUAUCAAAAUUUAUUAUAUUUUAAACUUAUAUGCAUUGAUCCUCUUGUAAUGAUUAUGCACAAAGUCACAAAGACUUUUCAACAGACAUUACAGAGUAUUCCAAUGGAGAUCAACUCCAUGGAAACAUCCUUCUUGCAUUAAGUUUUCCUAAUCUUACACAAAUUGAACAACUUCCACCUAUGGAAUCAUUUCCAUAUUCCUAUUUUGACUAUCAUUUCUGAACUAGAGUUACCCUUUUUCAAAAUAUGUCAAAAUGGUCCUUCCAAAAAUUAACACUAUACUUCCAACUAUCCCUGAGCAACCAAUCUUUGGUAAACCUUAGAUUGUCCUCGUCAAUUUAUUAAUCAUUUUAGUCAUAUCCAAUUCUAGACCUUUUCCCUCUUAAUGCCCCAUGCAUUUGGAAAAUUUAGAAAGGAUGAAUAUUAUAGCACAUGCAAUCAAUCCUAUAUCCGAAGCAUAUGGGACACGAUUCAUGAUGUCUCACAUAAAGACAUGAUUCUAGACUAGUCUUUUGCUACAAAAUUUCUAUUUGCCAAGUUCUCAUAAUUCAGAUUAUGAAAAGGGAUUUCGUAAUCAUAAUUGAAUUUUAGAACGCAAAUAAUAGACCCAUAUAUAUAUAGAACUUCCUUAUGUUGAGCCAUUCCAACACAAAAUUCAUAUAUAUCCUUGACUAAAGAUGAUUAAAACCACAAUCUAUGCUUUUAGAAUUGAAAUGAAGUAUAAUUUCCUCUCCCUUAAUUAUAGCAAAACAACUUUUUCAACCCCUGCAACUCCACGUAUUGAAACUUUUGUUUUCUAUAAUUAACAUUGCUAACUUGCGACCUUUAUCAUAAUUAUCAUGCUCCCACUAACAUGAUGAUUAUUAGCAUAACACUUAUGCUCCCACUAGCUUUGACAUGUACU
rnacentral:lncRNA from 1 species